GUAAUGUGCCAGUAGGUAUAGAUAAGGAUCAAUGGGCUCAUUUUGUUAAUUAUCGAGUGAAACCAUCGACAUUGGAGCUUUGUAGAAGGAAUAAAGAAAUUCGAAGCAAGCAAAAAAUUCAACAUAUAGGUGGUUCUAAGUCCAAUGCAAGAAGAAGGCAUGAGAUGUUUUUGGAAACUGGUCAAAAUCCUAGUCGUGGAAAACUGUUUAUUGAAACUCAUAAGAGAAAGGAUGGAUCUUAUGUAAUG